rnacentral:rRNA from 1 species
GACAGAGGUGCCGAGCGUUAGGCGGAAUCACUGGGCUUAAAGCGUGUGUAGGCGGACCGUUAAGUGUCUUGUGAAAUCCCACGGCUCAACCGUGGAACGGCUGGGCAUACUGGCGGUCUUGAGAGGCCUAGGGGCGAGCGGAACAGGCGGUGGAGCGGUGAAAUGCGUAGAUAUCGCCUGGAACGCCGACAAGUGAAAACAGCUCGGCUGGGGGCCUUCUGACGCUGAGACACGAAAGCCAGGGGAGCGAAACGGG